GCGGCCGGAAGGCGCUCCUGGGACUGGAGGACGGCAUCCCGAGCGGGAAGUUCGAUUUGUUUCCACGUAACAGCGUGAAGAAGCGCACCCGAAGAGAGCUGUUGGGGUGACAAGUUAUUAUCAAUACGCCGCUCUCACGCUUCACCCACAGUCCUUCGGGGUUUAGGCUGCACGGGCUUUACUGCUCUUUCACAGAUGAGGAAGUUGACUCGCGGCCCCGAGGAAGCCGCCGAAGACGCCUUGGAGCGGAUUUAAUUCAGAAACCUUGGAAUGAGGUGGCGUGGAUUGGGGCGCGGAGAAGACAGGAGAGACGGUGAGCUCGGAUGAUUGCGGGCCGAAGAUGAAACCUCGUGCGGCCCGAGAAGGACUUCUGCUGAGCAGAAUUGAGCCUUAAGACCCAUGCAAACUCAUAACUUUGAAUCGUGAUUCAUGGACUCAUCAUCACCAGAGAGCCAGUUAAAGAUGCAAGUUCCCAUCCCUGAACCAAGACUCUGAAGUUUACCAGUCCCUCCAGCCCUUGCAGAGAACAGAAACCAGUCGUUCUGUCCUGGAUGCCCAGAAUGGAAACUGCCCCUCAAGCAUUGAUGUUUUUCUUGUGAUCCUGCUG